rnacentral:rRNA from 1 species
UAGAGUUUGAUCCUGGCUCAGGAUGAACGCUAGCGACAGGCUUAACACAUGCAAGUCGAGGGGCAGCGGUGGUGAAGGCUUGCCUUUACCAGCCGGCGACCGGCGCACGGGUGAGUAACACGUAUGCAACCUGCCUGCCACAGCCGGAUAAUCGGGAGAAAUUCCGUCUAAUACGGCAUAAUGCAUCGACGGGACAUCCUGUUGGUGCCAAAGGUUGAUUCCGGUGGCGGAUGGGCAUGCGUCGCAUUAGUUAGUUGGCGGUGUAACGGACCACCAAGACGACGAUGCGUAGGGGUUCUGAGAGGAAGGUCCCCCACACUGGUACUGAGACACGGACCAGACUCCUACGGGAGGCAGCAGUGAGGAAUAUUGGUCAAUGGGCGGGAGCCUGAACCAGCCAAGUCGCGUGAGGGAUGACGGCCCUAUGGGUUGUAAACCUCUUUUGCCGGGGAGCAAAGUGCCGCACGUGUGCGGUUUGGAGAGUACCCGGAGAAAAAGCAUCGGCUAACUCCGUGCCAGCAGCCGCGGUAAUACGGAGGAUGCGAGCGUUAUCCGGAUUUAUUGGGUUUAAAGGGUGCGUAGGCGGACGCUUAAGUCAGCGGUAAAAUUGCGGGGCUCAACCUCGUCGAGCCGUUGAAACUGGGUGCCUUGAGUGGGCGAGAAGUACGCGGAAUGCGUGGUGUAGCGGUGAAAUGCAUAGAUAUCACGCAGAACUCCGAUUGCGAAGGCAGCGUACCGGCGCCCAACUGACGCUGAAGCACGAAGGCGUGGGUAUCGAACAGGAUUAGAUACCCUGGUAGUCCACGCAGUAAACGAUGAAUGCUAGUUGUCCGGGGCGAUUGAGUUCUGGGUGACACAGCGAAAGCGUUAAGCAUUCCACCUGGGGAGUACGCCGGCAACGGUGAAACUCAAAGGAAUUGACGGGGGCCCGCACAAGCGGAGGAACAUGUGGUUUAAUUCGAUGAUACGCGAGGAACCUUACCCGGGCUCAAACGCAGGAGGGAUGUUUUUGAAAGGAGGCAGCCAGCAAUGGUCUCCUGCGAGGUGCUGCAUGGUUGUCGUCAGCUCGUGCCGUGAGGUGUCGGCUUAAGUGCCAUAACGAGCGCAACCCCUACCUACAGUUGCCAUCGCGUGAUGGCGGGCACUCUGUGGGGACUGCCUGCGCAAGCAGUGAGGAAGGCGGGGAUGACGUCAAAUCAGCACGGCCCUUACGUCCGGGGCGACACACGUGUUACAAUGGCAGGUACAGCGGGAAGCCACCCGGCGACGGGGCGCGGAACCCGAAAACCUGUCUCAGUUCGGAUUGGAGUCUGCAACCCGACUCCAUGAAGCUGGAUUCGCUAGUAAUCGCGCAUCAGCCACGGCGCGGUGAAUACGUUCCCGGGCCUUGCACACACCGCCCGUCAAG